UUGUCAUCAGUGGCUCAGUGCAUCUGGCUGUUAACCAGAAGGUUGGUGGUUCAAGCCCACCCAA